GGGAGUGCUCGAAAGAGAGCCAGAACACAGGUGCUGCAUGGCCGUCGUCAGCUCGUGUCGUGAGAUGUUGGGUUAAGUCCCGCAACGAGCGCAACCCUUGUCAUUAGUUGCUACGAAAGGGCACUCUAAUGAGACUGCCGGUGACAAACCGGAGGAAGGUGGGGAUGACGUCAGGUCAUCAUGGCCCUUAUGGGUAGGGCUACACACGUCAUACAAUGGCCGGGACAGAGGGCUGCCAACCCGCG
rnacentral:rRNA from 1 species